CGUGGAGACAGGUGGUGCAUGGCUGUCGUCAGCUCGUGUCGUGAGAUGUUGGGUUAAGUCCCGCAACGAGCGCAACCCUCACCCCUAGUUGCCACCGGGUUAAGCCGAGCACUCAAGGGGAACUGCCGGCGUCAAGCUGGAGGAAGGCGGGGAUGACGUCAAGUCAUCAUGCCCCUUACGCCCUGGGCUACACACGUGCUACAAUGGCCAGUACAAAGGGACGCGAGACUGCGAAGUGGAGCUAAUCCCAAAAAGCUGGUCUAAGUUCAGAUUGCAGUCUGCAACUCGACUGCAUGAAGGAGGAAUCGCUAGUAAUCGCGUAUCAGCCCGGCGCGGUGAAUACGUUCCCGGGCCUUGUACACACCGCCCGUCACACCACGAAAGCUGUCUGUACUCGAAGUCGCUGAG
rnacentral:rRNA from 1 species